CCCAUAUCCUGCUCUGCCGACUAUAUAAGCUAGCUUGAGAGAAAUGUAAAGUUUGCCACUUGAUCAGAAUCCUGGCGUGUGGUCGUUCUUUCUGUGUCUCUUGUCCCAUUCCAUAUCUCUGACUCUCUUGCCCAAGGAUGAUGUCCUGAAGGUCAGGACAACUGAUGCCCAAUGUGUGGCUGGAUAGAUUUGGGGAUCUGGGAACUUCCGUGCUCCUUAGAGGGAUGGGCCCGUCCAUGCAGUGAGGCGUCCAAGACAAGUUCGAUUGUGAGCCUCGGUUGGAGGAAGACCCAGCAGCCUGCCCAGCACUUGGGACUUUCGGUUCAUGAGCACCACCUAUGUGGAAAAGGCCUGCUCCUGGCAUAGAGUGAACCCACAAAAACAGGGAGGAUCUCCCUGAGUCUAGAAACACCUCACUCUUCCUUCACCCUCCA
rnacentral:lncRNA from 1 species